ensembl:lncRNA
CAGAUGUGUCCAGAUGUGUCCGGAUGUGUCCAGAUGUGUCCGGAUGUGUCCGGAUGUCCGGAUAUGUGUCCGGAUGUGUCCAGAUGUGUCCGGAUGUGUCCGGAUGUGUCCAGAUGUGUCCGGAUGUGUCCGGAUGUGUUCGGGAUGUGUCCGGAUGUGUUCGGAUGUGUUCGGAUGUGUUCGGAUGUGUUCAGAUGUGUUCGGACGUGUUCUGCACGGAGUAAAUGUGAGAGCUGCGGACUGAUGGAGUAAAAAUGGAACUCUUUGUUCAUAAUUAACUUUAUGUUCGGAGAACAACAGGAGCAGCAUUUGAUCAGAGCUUGUUCUACGCUUAAACGUACGCCAUUUUACAGACGCCUGUAAGCAGAGCGACUUACAGAAGCGCUUUGAAGUCUCUAUUAAUAAAUACAUCUUGAGCUUGUUACCUGUUUAGCUUGGGUUUGGAUCUUUGUGGUUGUUUGGCAACCGGUGGAAUAAGAAACACUGCACAGGUAGAUGGAAAGAGACUGAAAAGAGGUUUCAACAACAGGACAAUUCGCAAUGAUAUUUGUUGGUAAAUGAGAGCUUUUAGCUGUACUCGUGUUCAACGCAUGUGAAUCAAAGAGGACAAUCUGCUGUAAUUGUGAAAAGUUGCAGCUCUGCUGUAUAUUGCGGCGUUUCCUUGAUUUUGCGUUCAUUUCUGCAAUCGUGAAAUCCUGGAGGGACUGAUUAAGUACUGACUUAAGUAGGGUGUCCAAACUUUUUCACAUGCAACAAUUACUAUUUUACUUCUUUCGUAAUAUUUUUUAAAGUUCAGCAAAUAUAAAUGAAGUGUGCAGUAGUAUUUGUGUCACUUCAAAAAUCAAUCAAAUAUGUAAAUCGGUGAGGGGUGCACAAACUUUUGCAUACAUGAUACAACGAUAAUAUUUUUAAUAACCAAACCUUUUUCAUUAAUGUGUAAUUUUCUUUUGUAAUCAGAGAAUAUUAAUGUAAUGUUAGCCUUAGACUGUUUACAUUACAUUUACAUUUAUUCAUUUAGUUUUUAUCCAAAGCGACUCACACAUGAGAAACUACAAGCGUGUUUAUCACACGCGUUUCCACCCGAUCUGUUAUUUUUAUGUUUUUGUUUCUAAGACACUUCAUAUUUUUCAGGUUUUGGAAACACUUUCAGUCGGACUUGCCGACAUCGCCACCAGACUGGGACUCUUUCCUGAAAAUGGAUUCGGAUCAGGAUUCGAGCAACUGCGUCCUGUCUUAAACACACAUGAACACAACGUCAGUAAUGUCGGCUGAUCACGUGACCUUUCCGUGCUGAAGGUUUAUUGGUGAAGGUAUAUAUAUUUAACUGUCUCAGGGAUGACAGGGAGUGGCACUAAAGUUAUUUAUUAUUCAUUAUUCAUUAUUAAUUCAUUAAUUCACAGACAGUGAAUGUUUUCUGCUAGAGAGAGAAAUGUAUAGUUCUUUAUUUAAGGUUAGGGUUUACUGUAUCAUGCUGCUGGGUGAAUGAGGGGGAUACGGCAGGUGUGGGGAGAUCCUUUAUUUGAACUUAUUUUUUAGUUUAUUUAGUUUUAUUAAUUUAUUAGUUGUAUUAGUUUAUUUCUGACUGUUUCCUUGCUUCAUCUGUAGAGAAUAUUUAUACCAUUGCAGAAUGUUUUUGUACAGUGAAGGGUAGUGGGUAGCUCAGUGGUUAAGACGUUGUGCUUCUGAGGGAGUUCAAGCCCCAGGACUGCUGAGCUGCCACUGUUGGGCCCUUGAGCAAGUCCUUUAACCCUCAACUGCUCAGCUGUAUAAAUGAGAUAACUGUAAGUCACUCUGGAUAAGGGCGUCACCAAAUGCUGUAAUGUAAAUGAAGGGUUCCUUUAAUUCAAUUCAAUUUUAUUUGUAUUGAGCUUUUAACAAUGGACAUUGUCUCCAUUUUUAUUCUUAUUAUUUCAAUUUAUCGUUCUUAAUGAAUUAAUGUGAUGGCGUUCCUGUGGAUUUGGCAAAUAAAAUGAUCAGUGAUUGAGAGCGUGUUGUGUUUGUUAUAAUGUUUAUA